rnacentral:rRNA from 1 species
AGUGAACGCUGGCGGUAGGCCUAACACAUGCAAGUCGAACGGCAGCACAGUAAGAGCUUGCUCUUACGGGUGGCGAGUGGCGGACGGGUGAGGAAUACAUCGGAAUCUACUUUUUCGUGGGGGAUAACGUAGGGAAACUUACGCUAAUACCGCAUACGACCUACGGGUGAAAGCAGGGGAUCUUCGGACCUUGCGCGAUUGAAUGAGCCGAUGUCGGAUUAGCUAGUUGGCGGGGUAAAGGCCCACCAAGGCGACGAUCCGUAGCUGGUCUGAGAGGAUGAUCAGCCACACGGGAACUGAGGCACGGUCCAGACUCCUACAGAAGGCAGCAGUGGGGAAUGUUGGACAAUGGGCGCAAGCCUGAUCCAGCCAAACCGCGUGAGUGAAGAAGGCCUUCGGGUUGUAAAGCCCUUUUGUUGGGAAAGAAAAGCAGCAGGUUAAUACCCCGCUGUUCUGACGGUACCCAAAGAAUAAGCACCGGCUAACUUCGUG